GUCGUGUCUCAGCCUGGAGAGUGCGCGCACCGCCGCCGGGGCAGCCGCUGGCUCCAGCUCACGAAACAGCCCCGGGCGCCGCGCCGCUCCGAGUCCAGCCUCUUACUGAGAACAGUCCCUCCCUUGUGCGGGUCGCACGGCUAGCCGCAGGUUCGGCCACGUCAAAUCCAUUUUCUAAAAAAGCAGAGAGCAGAGCUCUCUCUUCGCCGCCGACGCAGAAAGAAGGAGCUGGGGAGGAAAAAGCUGCUGCUUUUUGCGCUGGAGAUUCGUGGGCAAGGCUUCUCAUUUUCCCAGGCUGCUUCCCCUCCCGGGUGAGGAGCGCCCUGAGACUAAGGAAAGAGCCUGGAAAAUGGAGCAGACCUGGACGAGCACCUCAAUGACCUGAAGAAGGAGAACUUCAGCCUCAAGCUGCGCAUCUACUUCCUGGAGGAGCGCAUGCAACAGAAGUAUGAGGCCAGCCGGGAGGACAUCUACAAGCGGAACAUUGAGCUGAAGGUUGAAGUGGAGAGCUUGAAACGAGAACUCCAGGACAAGAAACAGCAUCUGGAUAAAACAUGGGCUGAUGUGGAGAAUCUCAACAGUCAGAACGAAGCUGAGCUCCGACGCCAGUUUGAGGAGCGACAGCAGGAGACGGAGCAUGUUUAUGAGCUCUUGGAGAAUAAGAUCCAGCUUCUGCAGGAGGAAUCCAGGCUAGCAAAGAAUGAAGCUGCGCGGAUGGCAGCUCUGGUGGAAGCAGAGAAGGAGUGUAACCUGGAGCUCUCAGAGAAACUGAAGGGAGUCACCAAAAACUGGGAAGAUGUACCAGGAGACCAGGUCAAGCCCGACCAAUACACUGAGGCCCUGGCCCAGAGGGACAAGAGAAUUGAAGAACUGAAUCAGAACCUGGCUGCCCAGGAGAGGCUUGUAGAACAGCUGUCUCGGGAGAAACAACAACUGCUACAUCUGUUGGAGGAGCCAACUAGCAUGGAAGUGCAGGUAAGGUUUGGUCAGUACGUCCAGAAGCACUUGCUUCAUGCUUUCAUAAGCACUGCUUUUUAAUAUCUAAGUGUAUUUGUUAUCUAUUGCUGUGUAACAGAUUACUACAAACUUAGCAGUUUAAAACACCCUAUUUUUGUUAUCUCACGGUUUCUGUGAGUCAAGAGUCCAGAUAUGGCUUAGCUGAGAUCUGUUUGGAGUCUCAUAAGUGUGAAAUCAAGGUGUAGACUGGGCUGUUUUCUCAUCUGGAGGCAUACCUAGGGAAGGAUCGGCUUCUAAGCUCCCUCAGGCUGUUGGAAGGAUUUAUUGCUGUGUGGCUGUAGAAGUUAUGGCAACUUCCUUCUUCACAGCCAGCAGCAGAAAGGGUCUGUUACUUUUCUCACUUCUAGACUCUCUUUUAAGGGGCUCAUUAGGGCAGGCCCACCAGCAUAAUAUCCCUUUUCAUUAACUUAAAAUCAACAGAUUAGCAGCCCUAAUUACAUCUAUAUGACCUCUUUACUUUUUUCAUAUAACGUAACAUAACUAUGCAGUGACAUUCCAUCACCUUUGCCAUAUUGGUUAGAAGUUACAG
rnacentral:sRNA from 1 species